CAGCCGCCGCGGGAACACAGAGGGUGCGAGCGUUAAUCGGAUUUACUGGGCGUAAAGCGUGCGUAGGCGGCUUUUUAAGUCGGAUGUGAAAUCCCUAAGCUUAACUUAGGAAUUGCAUUCGAUACUGGGAAGCUAGAGUAUGGGAGAGGAUGGUAGAAUUCCAGGUGUAGCGGUGAAAUGCGUAGAGAUCUGGAGGAAUACCGAUGGCGAAGGCAGCCAUCUGGCCUAAUACUGACGCUGAGGUACGAAAGCAUGGGGAGCAAACAGGAUUAGAUACCCCUGUAGUCCCUGUCUCUUAUAC
rnacentral:rRNA from 1 species